GAUGAACGCUAGCGGAAGGCUUAAUACAUGCAAGUCGAGCGGUAGGUGGCUUCGGCCAUUGAGAGCGGCGCACGGGUGAGUAACGCGUACAUGACCUGCCUGUCAGAAGGGGAUAGCCCUGGGAAACUGGGAUUAAUACCCUAUGGUAUUGAUAUUAUGAAUGAUAUCAAUUAAAGUUGAGGCGCUGACAGAUGGAUGUGCGUCUGAUUAGCUAGUUGGUAGGGUAACGGCCUACCAAGGCGACGAUCAGUAGGGGGCGUGAGAGCGUGGUCCCCCACACGGGUACUGAGACACGGACCCGACUCCUACGGGAGGCAGCAGUAAGGAAUAUUGGUCAAUGCCCGCAAGGGUGAACCAGCCAUUCCGCGUGGAGGAUGAAGGCCCUAUGGGUUGUAAACUUCUUUUAGAUGGGAAGAAAAUGCUAGAUGUAUCUGGUACUGACGGUACCAUCAGAAUAAGCACCGGCUAACUCCGUGCCAGCAGCCGCCGUAAAAC
rnacentral:rRNA from 1 species